AACGAACGCUGGCGGCAUGCCUAACACAUGCAAGUCGAACGAGAUCUUCGGGUCUAGUGGCGCACGGGUGCGUAACGCGUGGGAAUCUGCCCUUUGGUUCGGAAUAACAGUUGGAAACGACUGCUAAUACCGGAUGAUGACGAAAGUCCAAAGAUUUAUCGCCAGAGGAUGAGCCCGCGUAGGAUUAGCUAGUUGGUGUGGGAAAGGCGCACCAAGGCGACGAUCCUUAGCUGGUCUGAGAGGAUGAUCAGCCACACUGGGACUGAGACACGGCCCAGACUCCUACGGGGGGCAGCAGUGGGGAAUAUUGGACAAUGGGCGAAAGCCUGAUCCAGCAGUGCCGCGUGAGUGAUGAAGGCCUUAGGGUUGUAAAGCUCUUUUACCCGGGAUGAUAAUGACAGUACCGGGAGAAUAAGCUCCGGCUAACUCCGUGCCAGCAGCCGCCGUAA
rnacentral:rRNA from 1 species